GUAGCAUUGCCUUCUCUCGUCUCAUUCAUCUAUUGACAUUACAAACAAGCAUGCACUAAGAUCAGUUAAUUUGUGCUCAACUGUUUUAAUAGUGAUAUUGUUUGAUGAAUUUAUUUAAAUCAUGAGAGCUGUUUCGGUUUAAGCAAAGACGUUGUUUUAUGUUUCAUAUGUUUAGAGUAAUUUGUGUGUUAGGUCAUCUUCAUUUAAUUAAAGGUCUCUUAAAGGAGAACCAUCCGGUUGGUUUUUAAUUCCUCUUUCAUAGAUCCAGUUAUUUUAAAGGACUAGCACGACUAUUGUUUCUAUAUUUUGUGGUGAAUUGCCCAGUGCUCUUUUUGUAUUGUGUGUAUUAAUAUUAAUAUGAAUUUUUUUUUUUUUUUUUUUAAGUUGUCCUCCUUCCUGACUUAAUGGCGUCUGCAGGGCCUCCUACAUGGGUGUGACUGGCACUGGUGAGGUGGUGGGGAUUUUUCUGUGGUUUCUGGUGAUCUGUUUUUCCUUUCGAGUGCUGUGACUGCUGUGCUGCAUUGGGGUUUGAAUUUCAAUUAGUGGUUGUAUAUUUUCACACUGAUAGUUGUGCCCUGUUGGAGCCCUGUGGCAUGUCAAAGGUGUUUUGGAUAUUUAUUAUUUUGUGAAAGUUGGUAUCUGUGAAUUGUAAUAAAACUGCUUGUAUGAGCGGUAAAGCUUUCACUACAGUUUGUGGCCAGUUAUUAGCCCUCUCUGAUUUGGUGGGUUACACAUGACCAAUGUCUUGAAAUAAACCAUCUUAAUGUCUUGAUGUGUGGUUGUGACUCCAGGCUGUUAAAAUUAUUAGAGAGAUAAUGCACACCUGAAGUGGUUAUGUGGCCACGACGCUGCAUCUAUUAAUGGAAUGGUCUUUCUCAGUUAUCAAACAAAUUAAGAACUAGUGUCAGUUUAACGGUGAAAGAGAGCGAGGUGAGAUGGAAGCCAC
ensembl:lncRNA